GGUUAAACUAACAUUUCCAUUGUGAGCUAGAAAAUAGACAAUCUCCACAGCAGUGGGAGGAAUGUCUGCUAGGUUGGCUGGUAUGAUGUGGGAUGUCUGCAUCCAAGGGAAGGAUCCCGCGUGGGCCAAUCUGGCUGUUAGAAUACUGCAGGUACAAGAUUAACAGUUGUCAUGGAAUUACAGGCUCCCUAAAGUCAUGUAUAUUGAUUAAUA